rnacentral:rRNA from 1 species
UGGGGGAUCUUGGACAAUAGGCGAAAGCCUGAUCCAGCAAUGCCGCGUGCACGAUGAAGGCCUUCGGGUUGUAAAGUGCUUUUAGAAGGGAUGAGAAAGGACAGUACCUUCUGAAUAAGCCUCGGCGAACUACGUGCCAGCAGCCGCGGUAAGACGUAGGAGGCAAGCGUUAUCCGGAUUUAUUGGGCGUAAAGCGUAUGUAGGGGUUUGGUAAGUUGGAUGUGAAAUCUUUUGGCUUAACUGAGAGAGGUCGUUCAAAACUACCAACCUAGAGAGUUGUAGAGGAAGAUGGAAUUCCGGGUGUAGUGGUGAAAUGCGUAGAUAUCCGGAGGAACACCAGUGGCGAAAGCGGUCUUCUAGGCAACUUCUGACGCUCAGAUACGAAAGCUAGGGGAGCAAACGG